CGCCUCUUCCGCCCGCCUCUCAGGACUGAGUCCCGGAGACUCCUCUCCGGCUUCCUGCGUCUGUCUGGUCGAUCGGCGGUCGGCAAGCGACUACUAAGAGAGCCGUCUCGGGUGUGCAGUGCGAGCCUAGGGCCCGCCCUGAGCGCCAGUGAGCCGCCCCCGCCUGCCCACAGUCCGACGUCGGCCUCGCACGGCUUCACUCUCUUUAGUGUCUCCCGAACCACACCAGCUGGUUUCUGCGGCCUCGAGAUUUCCUUCCAUUUUGACACUCGCACUCGAGGCAUUCUCAAAUUCAUGAAAAUAUCCCAGAAAACCGGUCCCUGACUGAAAAGCUGAUCACACCCACCCGACGGUUUCUUGGUAGUUCUCGCCACAACCUGGUGUUUUUAUUCCCAGGUAGAUAGAUCCUCGGCGUUGGGAAACGGCGUUUUGACUACACAGGUUCGGUAAAUAUUUUAUGAAUGAGUGGUCCACGUGAAGGCCGAAAGAGUUUGAAAUAUUAAGCAAAUGUGACUGGCUGUACUGGAGAGGUGAACGCCAUGCUGUAUGAUCCUGGAGCUCUAAGUAGUGAGCAAGUCUAAUGACUUCUCUCCCUCCUGUUAAAAAUGAGUGCAAGUAGCCGCUGGGCGACAGUGGCACACGCCUUUAAUCCCAGAGGCAGGCGGGUCUCUUGAGUUCGAGGCUAGAGAAACAAAACAAAUACAUUUAAAAUGUGACUAGAAAAGACGGGUAACUCGAGACCCAACUGAAACAAAGGCACUAAGUGUGAGGAAGACUACUCAGUGGAAAACUUCAAGGUGCGCGGUGAGAGCUGUAAGGUUGAUUUUACCUAAAGGACUCACUGGGAAGCAAACUUCCACUGAGGAAGUGCCAUGGUGGGGUGUGUACAUCAGGAUGAUAGCAAUCCCAAGAAUAAAACAUCCCACUAAGGAAUCUGAUGACCACUGCAAAAAUGAGACAUUUGAAGAAGGAAGAAUUAUCCAGAGAAUAUAUCACAAGAAAUGGAGCAAACUGGC
rnacentral:lncRNA from 1 species